rnacentral:rRNA from 1 species
CCAGACUCCUACGGGAGGCAGCAGUGAGGAAUAUUGGUCAAUGGUCGGAAGACUGAACCAGCCAUGCCGCGUGCAGGAAGAAUGCCUUAUGGGUUGUAAACUGCUUUUAUAUGGGAAGAAUAAGGAGUACGUGUACUUUGAUGACGGUACCAUAUGAAUAAGCAUCGGCUAACUCCGUGCCAGCAGCCGCGGUAAUACGGAGGAUGCGAGCGUUAUUCGGAAUCAUUGGGUUUAAAGGGUCUGUAGGCGGGCUAUUAAGUCAGGGGUGAAAGGUUUCAGCUUAACUGAGAAAUUGCCUUUGAUACUGGUAGUCUUGAAUAUCUGUGAAGUUCUUGGAAUGUGUAGUGUAGCGGUGAAAUGCUUAGAUAUUACACAGAACACCGAUUGCGGAGGCAGGGGACUAACAGAUGAUUGACGCUGAGAGACGAAAGCGUGGGGAGCGAACAGGAUUAGAUACCCUGGUAGUCCACGCUGUAAACGAUGGAUACUAGCUGUUUGGAGCAAUCUGAGUGGCUAAGCGAAAGUGAUAAGUAUCCCACCUGGGGAGUACGCACGCAAGUGUGAAACUCAAAGGAAUUGACGGGGGCCCGCACAAG